AAGGAUGCAAUUUAGCAGGUCAUACAAUAUACCAAAAAAAGUCUUGGGGGUGCAGUAGGAAUAUUUCUUGAUAGAAAGAGUCUUAAAAAAUUUUUCGCCAGCAAACAUUUUCGCUCUCUGAUCUCUGUAUUCUUCUGAUCCUCCUCCUUGCUUGAACGUCUGUAACUUUGUCAUCCAUGAUUUGCAUUCAAUUCUUGACCAAAAAACCUUUUUCCGGAUUUUCAUCUUUUGAUCUCAAACAUGCUUUGCUUCUGUUGAUUGUGGUCGCUUUUAGUGCUAGUUCUUUUCUUAUAUUGCUUUGUUCCCUUUUGCCAUAAGUUCUUUGUUAGGAAAUUAGUGGGUGAAACAGGAUCGCAGCUAAAAUAAAAUUAGAAGAAAUAAAGAACAAGUACAAAAGAGAAUACUAGAAAUUAUGUAGUUCGAAUUUUAGUCUACGUCCACGGCGAAAAUAGAAGGAAAUAUUUUACUAGUGAAAUAAGGAUUACAAAUAUUGUAAUAUUUUGGCUCACUACCCAAAACUCCAACAAACUCAAUCUCUCACUCACGACACAAGAGUAUUAAAACUCUUAAUCUCUCACACAACUCUUUCUCUUUUACAAAACAGAGAAGAGAAACUUAAAGAAAAAAAAUGGAAUGCAAAAAUGAGGGUGGGAAGUGUUGAGUGUUAGAAAAUGCAUAUUUAUAAAAUAGAAAACCGUCAUUUUACAUUUCAAGUUUUACUAACAACCCUUACUUUUAUGUAUUUAAACUUCUUGUGAUUUAAUUACAUGUGUUUUAUUUUAAUUAAGUAUUUUAUGUAUUUAGGGGCAUUAUAGUCAUUUUACAAUAAAGGAGAGAUCAGACGGUAAAACGGACAUCACUUUUGAACUCAGGACGGUCGAAAACCUUAGGAGGAGCAUAAAAGGGAAAACGGCACUGUUUACAUGUACGGUACUAUUCACGUGUACGGUUUACGACACUGUUCAAAUAGACGGAUCGAUGACGUGGGAUUGACCGAUGAUGUGGCAUUGACUGAUGAGGUGUCACGAUCCUGUUGGGCUAAAAUUCUUAUGUACUGUUGGUGGUGACGUGGCAGCAUAUCAGUGGACGAAAAAUCUCGCGUACGGUACAUGCAUCACACAGGAUUAUUGUCAACCAAACCGCGUUACUGUUCAUUCGGGUCAAACCGUGUUACUGUUCAUCCACGUGGUCAAACCGCGUACUGUUGACUGAUGACGUGGCGCAAUCCUGAGCGUCCAAACUGUUUUUAAUCCGAUGGUCAUGAUUUACUCCAUGUAUCUAUAAAAAGGGGCCUCUCCCCCCUAAUUUGAUAGCUCCGAAUCCAUUUUUUGGAUCCAUUUUCUGUAAUUCCUUCUCCAUCUUGUAUUUUCUACGUAUUUUAAUAAAUUCCUAUUUUGCCCCUAGUUCAAUUAUGAGUAGCUAAUUUUCUUUCAAGCUUGGGUUGAAGGUGAAGUCUCAACAUGUGUCAUGGGCUUUAUUUGGUAAAUUUAUUUUCUCUUCUCCUCUAGUUUUUGUGGAUGUUUUGACUUCUCGUCGACAAAUAAUACUAAUCUUGUCUAGUACCGCCUUGGUUUUACCGGCUCCCUAGUACAAGGUUAUUAUUAUUUGGCACGAUAAGCCCUUAGCACCAUAUUGAUUAGAGUGUGGUUCAUGAGGUGUGGAUUCCCCUCUCAUGAUUUAAUUGGCAUUAAUACGGAUUAUUUAGCCCAUGAUGCAUGUUGAUACGGAUCCAGAUACCCAAGUACGUCAUUUCAAUAGAAUCAUCUUCAAUUUAUUCUCGCCAUUGCAAUUUCAAUUUUAGAAUUUAUUAUCGUCAUUUCAAUUCCAAUUUAAGGAUAAUUUAAAUCACUUCCACCACAAUUUCAACCUCCCAUUUACAAAAUUAAUUCUAUAUAUAAUUAAAAAUCCACCUCCUCGUGGGAUUGAUACUCGUCACCAUUAAUCUAUACUACAAUAGAUUCGUGCGCUUGCGAGUACAUUAAAAUUUGCACAACAGGAAGCCCUCUUUAUAUAGCAAAAAAUUUUGGCUCUUUUUUUAUUUUUUUUAUUUUUUUAGAACAAGUUAAAGCCGUGUGCUUCAUUUCUUUGGGCGGCACCUCCCUCAUCUCUUUUUCGUCUGUUUCUCUUUUGUUUAUUUCUUUGGGCGGCUGCCAAAGCCAAUUUGAUUUUGGCUAGGCCACCACUGGCUUUGACACUCUUUGCAUUUCCUUGGAUGAAGAAACCUUUUUCUUGUUUCAAUUUUCUGAUCUCAAAGCACUUUGAUUCUCGUCUGCCACACUGAUUUUGUCCUUCUUUUGUACAAACAUAAUUUCGCCAUUAUCUGUUUGAUUAUCAACUGACCUGUCGUUGACUCUAUUCUAUUUCUAUGUGAAAAAUACGAAAAAAAAAAAAAAGAGAUUGAAGAUGGUGGAAAGCAUUGUUACUGUUGUUUUAGAAGUUGUGAAAUGCUUGGCUCCUCCGACACAACGCCAACUUGAUUACUUGCGUAACUACAAUGAAAACAUUCAGAAACUCGAGGCAGAAACCGAGAGCCUGAAGGUUGAAAUUAGGAGCAUUGAGCGCAGAGUUUUUGGGGCCGAAAAAAAAGGAGAAAAGAGUGAAGAGAAAGUCGAGAAGUGGCUGGUUAGCGCCAACAAGAUCAUUGAUGAGGUGAAUGCCAAAUUCAUGGAAGAUGAAGAGACUGCAACUAAGCGAUGUCUCAAGGGGCUGUGUCCUAAUUUGAAGGCUCGCUAUCAGCUUAGCAAGAAAGCAGAGACACAGGUGAAGGCCCUUGUUGAGUGCCGAGAAGAAGCCGGUCGACUUGAUAGAAUUUCCUACCUUACCUAUCCGGACAAGAUAUGGCUCAAGUCCCACAAAGGUUACGAGGCCUUUGGAUCAAGGCUUUCUACUUUGAAGUGUAUACAAAACGCUUUGACAGAUGUUAAUGUCAGCAUCGUUGGAGUGUACGGCAUGGGCGGCGUUGGAAAGACGACUCUAGCGAAGGAGAUCGUUAGGCAAGCCUUGGCAGACAAGCUCUUUGAUCAAAUAGCCUUUUCAGAGGUUUCCGAAACUGUAGACAUAAAAAAGAUUCAGCGGGAUAUUGCUGAGGACUUGGGUCUGGCAUGGCAUGAGGAAACUGAAUCUAGAACUGCGAGUAGACUGUAUGAACAGUUGAAGAAUGAGAAGAAGAUUCUUGUGGUUCUAGAUAACAUAUGGAAGCAUCUUGAUUUGGAGACUGUUGGAAUUCCUUUUGGUGAUGAUUAUAGAGGUUGUAAACUCUUGCUGACAGCAAGAGAUCGUAAUGUUUUGUUGGAUAUGGAUUCUAAACAUAACUUCUUUAUUGACAACUUAAAUGAAGAAGAAGCUUGGAGAUUGUUUAAGACGAUGGCGGGUGAUUAUGUUGAAAAUCGUCAGCUGAAAUCUACAGCAACAGAUGUAGCAAAGGGAUGUGGAGGUUUGCCUAUUGCCUUAGCUACAACAGCAAGGGCAAUGAGAGACAAGACUGUGCAUGAAUGGAAGAAUGCCUUGCGAGAACUUCAAACGCCUUCAGUGAUGAACUUCGAAGGACUGCCGGCAGAUACUUAUUCAAGAAUCGAGCUGAGUUUCAAGUAUUUAAAAGGUGAGCAGCUCAAGAAAAUUUUUCUGCUUUGUAGUCUAAUAGGUAAUUCUAUUUUUACUUCAGACCUGUUUAAAUACUCCAUGGGUUUGGGUAUACUCCAAGGAGUCAAGAAGAUGGAAGAUGCACGAAACCAAUUAUAUGCAUUGGCCUAUAAACUUAAAGACGCUUGUUUGUUGCUUGAGGGAGGUAGCAACGAACAAUUUUCAAUGCAUGACGUCGUUCGCGAUGUUGGCAUAUCAAUUGCUUGCCGGGACCAACAUGUAUUUUUGGCAAAAAAUGAGGAUGUGUUGGAGCUGCCGGACAAGGAAGCACUUGAAAAUUGCUUUGCGAUUUCUAUAACAGGUUGCCGUAUUCAGGAGCUUCCUCAAGGAUUGGAAUGCUUGCAACUCGAAUUUUUAUAUGUAUCUCCCAAAGACUCUUACCUUCAAAUCAAUAUUCCUGAGAACUUUUUUGCAGGGAUGCGGAAGCUUAGAGUUGUAGAUUUUACUGGGAUGCAAUUAUAUUGCUUGCCAUCUUCAAUUGAUCUCUUAGUAAAUCUUCAAACACUAUGUUUAGAUCAAUGCAUGUUGGGAGACAUAGCUAUUAUUGGAAGGUUGAAGAAUCUGGAAAUCCUUAGCUUUUUAAAAUCAGAUAUUGUGCAGUUGCCUGAAGAACUACGUGAAUUGACUAAGCUAAGGUUGUUAGAUUUAUCCAAUUGUCUCCGGCUAAAAGUUAUUGCACCCAAUGUCCUAUCAAGCUUAACUCGAUUGGAAGAACUCUACAUGAAAAAUUGCUUUAUCGAAUGGGAGGUUGAAAGCCCCAAUAGUGGAAGAUGUACUGCCAGCCUUGUUGAGUUGUUGCAAUUGCCUCGACUGACCACUCUAGAAAUAGAUGUCAAAAAUGAUAGUAUUUUACCAGAAGGAUUUUUUGCAAAAAAAUUAGAAAGGUUCAAAAUAUCAAUAGGAGAUGAGUCAUUCAAGCCUCCCGUGCUUGCGAAUGAAUGGUUCCGUAGUCGGCGGCUUUUGAUCAGUAAUCCUUCGAGUUUAAGAACCAUUAAGCUGAAGCUUAGCUCAAAGCCUAUUUGCUCGAAGAAAAUGCAGGGCAUCCAGAAUGCUGAAUACUUGUGUUUGGACAAGCUGCAAGGUGUGAAUAAUGUUCUUUUCGAUAUGGACACUGAGGGCUUUCUACAGUUGAAGCAUCUCCAUGUUCAAAAUAAUCCUGAAUUCUCGUGUGUUGUUGACUCAACGGAGAGGGUAUCUCGCGAUGCCUUUCCUCUUUUGGAGUCACUUACUCUUUACAAUUUGAUUAACAUGGAGAGGGUGUGUACUGAUCCACUCAAAGUAGAGUCUUUCUGUGAACUUAAAACCAUAAAAGUGGGAAAAUGUGAUGAGUUGAGUAAUAUCUUCUUGCUGUCUUCCACAAGCUGCCUUCCCAGACUUGAGAGGAUUGCAGUUUUUGAUUGCGAUAAGAUUGAAGAGGUCUUUGCAAUUGGUGGAGAACCAGAUGUCGACAACUAUAAUACAAUGGAGAAGACAGAGUUUGCUGCAUUAAAAUGUUUACAUCUGCGGAAGCUUCCAAAGCUUGAAAGUUUUUGCUCUGAAGUAAAGAGACCAAAUACACAAGAGUCGCAAGAGGAAUUGACAGCUAUUACUUGCUCGAACGAAAUCAGUUUGUUGGAGGAGGACAAGCUUGAUACUUCGACACCGCUUUUCAAGGAGAAGGUAAGCAAUUAUAAUGAAACCAAAGCAUUCGUUUUUCUUUCUCAAUUUAUUCUAUCGUGCAUUCUCAUUUGAUGACAACUGUAGAAAAUAAAUUAUAAGGGAAAUAGAAAAUGAGAAUGGAAAUUAGAAUCUAACACACUCACUCACUAAGCUCGCUUUACACAUUAAUGAUGUGAAUUAAAUUGCAGAUUAAGUGUAUGUUUGGUAUGGUAAUAAUUCUCAAAAAAUCAUUUUUAGCACAGAUUUCUAAAAACUAUAUUUGAAAAAAGUUUUAACACAAUGUUUUGUAAAUGGGUGAGCUAUUUGCACCUCAAAAAUUACUCUAAACACUCUAAUUGAAAUAAAAAUUUAUAACAAAAAUAUCUAUCAUAUGAAUUACGUUAAGGACAAUUUAUUAUAAGUCAAUAUUACAUAAUUACUAUGAACGCCCCAUAUAACACACUCAUUAUUUAAUAUAUAUAAUUUUCAUGUUUUAAACCUUAAAAAAUUUUAUUUACAAAAUCUUCAUCAAUACUUAGAUGAAUAAUGAUAAAAUCAAUAUUUUUCUUUUAUUUUUCCAUAAAUAAAAUUAAUUUUGCACUCAUUAUUUUUAUUUUUUCAAAAAUAAAGUAAGUAUCUUUUUCCUUUUAUUGGGCUUUUGACCUCUUUUUUUUUUCUUCUUUGUCCUCUUCUCUUCUUCUCCUUCCUUUUUUAGAGUUAUUAUGGAAUAUUUCUUCUUAUUAUUUUCUCAUUGCAAGUUAUUUUAAGUGCAAAAUCCAAUAUUAAACAUAAGUAAACAAAAAAAUUAAUAACUAAAAUACUUGUUUUACUAUUUAAAUUACAUUCGGUACACAUGCAUGUUUGGUAAUUUACUAUUAUAAAAUACAUGUUUUAUUAUUUUUCAAAAAUAAAAGAGGUUUUUUAUAAUUCAUAAAUAAUAUUGAGCACACUAUUUUAAUAAUCACUUUUCAAUUACAUUUGUCAAACUCUUUGGUACAUUAGAUUGUCAAAUGAUCAAAUACCAAACACGCACUGAAGCUGUCACUUGGAAGAAGGUUUUGAUGGCUUAUAUUUACAAUCAAAGAAGAUACUUCUCAGCUUAUAUUGGAUCUAAUAAAAAAUUAAUGUUUAGGUUGUGCUCCCCAGCUUGGAGGAUUUGAAGCUGGUUGGAAUUAAUGUCGAAAAGAUUUGGCAAAAUCAACUUCCAGCCAUGUUUCUUUGCUUUCAAAGUUUAACUAAAUUGAUCGUGGGGAAGUGUCACAAAUUAAAAUGUAUAUUUUCGACUUCUAUGCUCAGAAGCUUUGAACAACUCCGACAGCUGAAUAUAUACAACUGUAUGGGUUUGCUUGAGAUUAUUUCCGAAGGAGCAGAUCAAGUGCCACCUUGUUUUAUCUUUCCGCGGCUGACAUUUCUAAGACUACGUAAACUACCAGAACUUAGAUGUUUAUAUCCUGGAAUGCAUACUUCGGAAUGGCCGGCACUAAAAAUGUUGAAGGUCUUUGGUUGUGACAAAAUAAAGUUAUUCGGUUCCGAAUUAUCUAGCUUCCAUGGAAACAUUGAUAAGAAUCAGCUUCAUAUCCCAGCGCAACAGCCCCUGUUGUUGAUCGAAAAGGUAUAUAUGCAACCAUUUAUUUGAUUUUUUAUCAGUUGAGUCUUACUGUUUCUUAUGUUUUACGUUUGAUUCUUUGUUGCAAAGAAACUCACAAACAAAAGAUUUUAGAAAUACCCACUGUACAUGUAUGUAUUGCUCAAAAUUGUUUGACAGAACAUCAAUAGAACUAAUUAGUUUUUAUAUGAGUUGAUGAUGUUCAGAUCUUCCCCAGCUUGGAGAAACUCCUAUUAAGUGGAAAGGAUUUCAGGAUGAUUUUGCAGGGUGAUUACCCACAAAACCUAUUUGGCAGUCUUAAAUACAUUAAGGUUGCGGAUGAUGACUCAGCUUGUUUUCCACUUGGUUUACUUGAGAAAUUUCAAAAUCUGGAAAUCCUCUUUCUGAGUUGUACUUCAUACACAGAGAUAUUAUCAAAUGAAGGACACUCGGAGAAGCACGUGGGCAAGUUCUCACAAGUAAAACAUUUACAGCCGUACAAACUGAAUGAUCUGAAGCACCUAUGGAAACAAGACUCCAAACUGGACUCCAUUCUUGCAAAUCUUGAAAUUCUACGAGUAUAUUGUUGUCAAAAUCUGACUGUUCUAUUGCCAUCAUCAUCGGUAUCGUUUUGGAAUCUAACAGAUCUGCAAGUUUGGGGCUGCAAGAAAUUGAUGAAUUUGGUAACAUCCUCCACAGCAAAGAGUCUAGUGCGCCUCAUGACAAUGAAGGUGUGUGGGAGCAAAGCAAUGACACAAGUGGUGGUAAGUGAGGAAGAUGGAGCAGAAGAUGAAAUUGUUUUCAGCAAAUUGAAGACAUUGUCUCUGCUUGAUUUAGAUAGCCUCACAAGUUUCUACUCUGGCAAUUACACCUUCAAAUUCCCAUCUCUACAAGAUUUAGAAGUGAUUGGUUGUCCCAAGAUGAAGAUUUUCACCACAGGAGAAUUAUGCACACCGCCGAGAGUAAAUGUCUGGUAUGGAGAGGGAGAUGGUGAAUGUCGUUGGGCUAAUGACCUUAACGUUACGAUACAAGAGUUGCAUGCUGAAAAGGUACGGUUAACCCACCAACUUAACUCCCAAGGAAAAAUUUUACAAAUUUGCACUUUUUAACAAAAUUUAGAAAAUAGAUCAUGGACAACCAAGUUUGACUCAUUAGAAUAUUUAUUAUUGAGUAAGUGCAUGAUCGGGUUUGAAAAAGUAUGAGACACUUCUGUAUGUAGUUCUUGAAACUGUCCAAUUUAAAACAGACAUAUUCAAUUCUCAAAAAAUCAUGAAUCAUUAGUUUUAACUUCAUAAUAUAAAAGUCGUGUCAAAUUAAUGAAUGAGAAUUUUGUUUUCAGAUGUUGGAGGGGUCGUCAUCUAACUUGAGGAAGUACGAUUGGUGAUCAUGUUGGCUUUUUAAUUUAUUACUUGGAGUUGUGAAUUUGAAGAAUAAAGUCCCAGGUAAAUAAUUUAAUUUCCCUUAUUUGAUCUCAUAGCUUGUUUCAUCGGUUCACCUGAACUAUUUAGAUUGCGUCACUGGUUUAUUGUUAACUUUAAAAUGAAGUUUUAAUGUUUCAUUCGGGGCUUUAUGAGCAAAUUUUACAUCAUUGAAUGUCCUUUGGUCUGAACUUUUGAGCUUUUUGUUUGAUAGUCAAGGCUUUAUAGUAUGCUAUUUAUAAUUCCUUAAGAAUGUGCAAAAUUUUUUAUGAUAAAAUUGCUUGAAUAUGUCAUUGAAAGGAACUUCUAUGUUGCUCUUUAUGAUUACAGAGUUCUCAAUGUUAUCACUCUUCUUUUGCAGGAUGUGGAAUCAAAGAUACUUUUCUAUGAAAUUUGUGUUCCUUGUAUUAAAAGUUUACAUGCUGAAGGGCUUCCUGUGUUAUCUUUGCUGUUCUACUUGUGCUUUACUUCAUUGUGUCGCUACAGCUUUGUGAGUGUUAUGUUAACUAUUGUUUCCUUCAUUUGGGCAUUGUAAGUUUCGAAGGCGCUACAUUGCUUGACUAAAGAUGCUUAAAUUUAUCAUCUGUUUGUACCCCUUGUAUUAUAUACAAUAAAUUUUUGAUGUAUUUUGACAUUUAAUACGAGAUAUGUUUGAAUUUUCAUUGAAAGGUUUCAUAAUUGUUCAAAUUUAUCUUCAGUUUUAUUUUUGUUAUCUUGUUGGAACCAAAUUGACAACCAAGAUCAAUUUGGAACACCCAAGAUCCACUCUAAGAAACUUGAUCUUAACUAGGUCUGAUACUAGACUGAGUUUAAGAAGAAAUUUGCCUAGGUAAGUGGAAUCAAACACAACUCAAGGAACAAAAGCAGAAAAGAAAGAAAACAGAUCUCACACACAGCACCAAGAUUUAUAGUGGUUCGGCCAUUUUCUUGCCUAUAUCCACUGUGAAAAGAGAAGCAAGCUUUCACUGAUUUCAGAGAUUACAAGUCACAGAGAUGAAGAGUAUGUGUAACAGAAUCGAAACCCCUCAGUAACAGAUCAUAGAGCCUUUUACAUUUCAAUCAAAACCCUCUAAAAGGACCCCAAACAAUCAGCUCACGCUCCUGGGUUUCUCAGCUAAGCAAUCCCAGCUGCAUCUGCAUCCCGCGUGAAUUAACUGAAUUAACAGCUUCUGGAACUGCUCAGGGACACUUGUCAAAUGCUCGUAUAAUUUGCUACUUCAAAAACCGACAUGACAUCACUUCCUUCCCCAAGCAUCAGACACGUCAUACACAUUCCCGAAUCCAGAUUUGAGCUUCCCCUCUUCAGCAUAUCUCAAAUACAUGUUAGGCCUUGCAUGCAUAGACGCACGUAAUAUCCCAGAAGAGUUUUAUCAGAUGAUUUUACUAUCAUCGUUGUUGUUGCUGCUCCCGCCGCCGCCAUUAUUACUAUUAUUAUACUACUACUUGAAAAUUUCAAGUAUUUUAGAUGAGAAAUUUAUUAUGUUAGAGAUAUUCAUAAUAUACAUGAUGCUGAAAUCAGGGAAUUUGUUGUCUCAGUUUGUUUUAUUUUUGUUUGCCUCGAAUCAAAUUUUGAAAUUUAAGAACUAUGGUAAGAGAUGGAACAAGAGGAGUUAAAAAAUUUGCCAAAAUUGAUGUAGCAAUGAAACAAUUGUAUCCUAACAUGUUUAGCAUCAUUCUACUUUAUGAUCAUUGUUGUUCCGUUAUUUUAGUUCUUGCUCUGUUUGUUCUGUUUCUCUGUUUAUUUCACUGGGGGUUUGCUUCACAAAAUCUUACUUUCAAAAUUUAGAAGGCAAGGAAAGAGCGCUUCGAAAAUGCAAGAGGUAUCAAAUCAUGCAUUAAAAAACUUGUUGGCUGCUGGCUGGUCUAUUUCAUUGGCACCGAUCGAAUCAUUAUCCCUAAAAUAAUUAGGAGUCGGAGAUAUAAGUGUGAAAAUAACAGGAUCAUUUACAACAUGGAAAUCAGUCGCCAUUGGUAGGUGGCGCUGCAUAUGAUAAUAACAACUGAUUGAUACCAACAAAGUGUUGGCUCCACUGGUAAUGGAGUCCCCUUAAGUGGCUUGACUGGAUUUGCUCCCCAGUUCGAGUCGCAGGGAAGUCGCCUUUGUUGGGAGAAUCUGUGCCUCCCGGUUCGAGCGGAGACUUCUAGUCUGGGUUGUGGUACGGGCUUAAAGGUGCCUCCCACAGUUGGGGCCCUCCCCAGGAUACCUCGUGAUUAAUAUAAAAAAAAAAAAACAACUGAUUGAUGAAAUUAAUGCCAUCAAUCUGCCUGUUAAUGUUGUUGACGCGUGUCAAAUUUUCAUGCAUAUUAGAAUUUAUUAGUGAGGUUGCAUUAUGGUCCAUAUCGUCAAUAACUUUAGCAGUCAAAUUUUACGCCACUGGAGUCAAAUUUUCAUGCAUAAAGCUGUUGGCUGGUCUGUUUGGCUCUACAAUGAUUUAUCUUUUCGACUUAAAAUGAUUCCAAAAAGCCAUCAGCAAUCUCUAGUGCAACUCUUCAAAAAAAAAAAUUAAAAUAAAAAUAAAAGUCUCAAAAAGUAUCAUUAAUUUAAUUCUAUUGUUUCCGGGUAAUCAGAACGUGUUUGAUAAAUAUUUAUAAGUUACAGUUUGAAAAUUAAAUAGAUUUUAUUUAACAAAAAGAUAUUGUUGACGCGUGUCAAAUUUUCAUGCAUAUUAGAAUUUAUUAGUGAGGUUGCAUUAUGGUCCAUAUCGUCAAUAACUUUAGCAGUCAAAUUUUACGCCACCGGAGUCAAGUGAUUUUUAAGCAGUUUUAUUCAACUGGUUACCUGAGUUCGAAUCUUAAAGAGAUAAAUAGUUAAAAAUGAAUUUAGACUUUGCCUACUCCUUUAAUAAAAAAAGAAGGUCAUUUAGUCUUAACUUUUGAAAUUUUUAUUUGACAUUUCGGCUUUAUAGCAUGCGAUGUAUUUUCUUAAAUUUUAUAAUUCCUUGAGAAUGUGCAAACAUUUUAUGAUAAAAUUACUUAAAAAUGUCGUUGAAACGAACUGAACUUUUUAUGUUGAAAGAAAGCCUUAUUAUUUUUCUGUACUUCUAUGUAAUGCUUUAUGGUUACAAAAUUCUCAUUGUUAUCACUCUUCUUGUGCAAGAUCUGUAAUGAAAGAUACUUUUCUGUCAAAUUUGUGUUCCUGAUAUUAAAAGUUCACAUGCUGGGGGGCUUCCUAUUUCAUCUUUGUCAUUCUACUUGUGCUUUGCUUCAUUGUGUAGCUACAGCAUUAUAAGCGUUACCAUAACUUAUCUGCAGCAAUUUUAUAAUUUACUAUUAUUGUGGUUGUUGCUGCUAUCAUUGUUCUACUAGUUGGAAAAUUCGAAUUCUUUUAGACGUGACAUUUAUCAUAUUAGAUAUUCAAGGUAUACAUACAUGCAUAUAUAUAUAUAUAUAUAUACUGGGUAUCUGUUUAGAUAUGAUGCAGAGAAAUGACAGAAGUUGUAUUAAGUGACGAAGAUUGAGCAGCAAAACAAGAGAUAGUUUUCAGCAAAUUAAAGACGUUGGCUCUGUUUGAUUUAGUUAGACUCACAAGUUUCUGCUCUGGCAAUUGCACUUUCAAAUUCCCAUCCUUGCAAGAUUUAACUGUGAUUGACUGUCCCAAGAUGAAGAAUUUUACUAGAGGAGAAUUAUGGAUGCCAUCUGGUACGGAGAGAGAGAAGAUGAAAGCCGUUGGGCUAAUGACCUUAACACAACCAUACAACAACUACAUGCAGAAACGGUAUGAUUAAUUCACUAUUCUAUCUCCAAUGGAAAAGUUUUACAAAAUUUGCAAUUUUUUAACAAAACGUAGAAAACUGAUCAUUGACAAGUUAGUUUGAUUCAUUAGAAUAUUCGCUAUUACUUUUGUAUUUAAUUCAUCAAACUGUCCUAUUUAAUAUUGACAUUUUCACAAAAGUUAGAUAAUGUUUUUCAAUUCUCACAAAUUCGUUAAUAAUUAGUUUUAAUUUCAUAAUAUGAAAAUCUUGUCAAAGAAAUUGUGUUAUUAAACUUAUUAAAUCUCUCGCUAGUGGCUUCCUUCCUAAUCUCCAUGUGCUUUAGUAUUUAUUUCCAAGUGCCUAAUUUUACGACUUUUAAUUUAGAUUAAUGAAUGACAAUUCUUAUUUUUUCAGCUGUUGGAGGGGCUUUCAUCUUAGUCGACUUUAUACAAGUAAUCUGAUCAAAUACAUUUUAGUACUUGGAUAAGAUGUGGAUUUGAAGACUAAAGAUCGCAGGUAACUAAUUUUAUUACUUAUGUACUUUUCUCAUGGUUUUGUUUCAUCGUUUCAUCUAAACUCUUUGGAAUGCAUUAAUUUUGUUUAUUGUUAAUUUGGAACGAAGUUUUAACGUAUCAUUCAGGGAUUUUGUUUGCAUCAUUGAGGGUUGUUUGGCCUUAACUUCUGAGGUUUUUGACAUUCAGCUUUAUAUUGUGCUAUUUUUUGUAAUUUUAUAACUUCUUGAAAGCAUGCAUAUAUUUUUUUUCUUAUCAUGAUGCCUCGAAAAUGUCAUUAGAAGGGACAGCAGUUUUCUUUUUCUUAUUUAUUUUCAAGUAUCUACGUUUGCGAAUUUUAGUUCAACUUGUUGAAUGGGAAUUUUGUUUUCAGCUACGUACAAGACGAUGCCGCUGCUGCUGCCAUUGUUACUGUCAUAGUUACUAUUACUCGAAAAUUUCAAGUAAUUUAGUUGUGAAAUUCAUUAUGUUAGAGAUAUUCAAAAUAUAUAUGAUGCUGAAAGAAAAGAGUGGACUUGUUGUCUCAGUUUGUCUCAUUUUGUUUUCUCCAACUCUAAUUUUCAAAUUUUAGAAAUAUGGUAAGAGAAGGAACAAAAUGAGUAAAAAAAUUGUCAAAAUAGUUGUAGCUAUGAACAAUUAUAUCCAAACACAUUUAGCAUCAAUCUACUUUGCCAAAUUUUUUAGUCAUCGUCUUUGCUCGGUUGUUUUAGUUUUUGCCCUGUUUGUUCUCUUUAUUUUGAUUGAGUUUGCUUUACAAAGUCUAUCUUUCAAAACUUAGAAGGCGAGGAAAGAGCGGGUAGGAAAUGCAAAAGGUAUCAAAUCAUGCAUAUGGUCAAAUGCUCCUGUAUAUGAACACAUAAAGAACAAUUGAAAUAUCAUUCACCGGAUAACACAAACAAAUAAAAAAAAAAAAAAAAAGAAGAAAGAGAGAAAAUCUAAUCGUCUCAUUAUCCCGAACACAAAUAAUUAAACCAUCAAAUGUUUGCAAUGAGCACAAUCAGAUCAUCUCUUUGGAAUAAUUACAUGUUGGCUUGGCCUAUUUUUUGGCCGGUAAAAAGGUUUUUGGCUGGAGCAUUUGGCCUUAACUUUUUUUUUUUUUUGAGUCUAUAUCAAUUGAUGCCACUAUGUCAAUAAUAAUUGGUAGGAAAUAAAUUAAUAUGUAACUAUAUCUUCUUAAUUAAUUAUUUGUUUUUUUAUCCAUUUACAUUGGAAAAAAGGGGUGCAGGGUCAGGAAGCUUCUUAGACGUGGCACGUUCAAAAGCUUUUUUUUUUUUUUGUCUGAACCACAUGGUCCUGAGUAGGCCCUAACUGUGGGAGAUACCUUUAAGCUCAUACCACAAUCCAAACUAAUCUCCACUCGCACCAGGUCGGCCCGUAAGGGAUAAAGUACUGGCUAAAGUGGUGACUCCAUAUAAGAGCGGGGCUUGAACCUCUGACCUCUCUUAAGAAGUGAGAGUGCCGAACCACUCUGUUCAAAAGCUUUUCUUUUUUAAAAGCUGCGUCAAGCAUGACACGUCAACAUCAUUUACAAGUGGGAACAACUCUUUUUCAUAAAAGAAAAGCCUUUUUUGUUUUAAAAUAAAGUUUUUUUGGAUGAUUCACUAUUACUAAUUGCCCAAGUCAUUCUAUUGCGAAUACAUGCAAAUUAAUAAAGAGACUUGUGGGGUUGCUGGAUAGAAAUUGUUGAAUACAUACAAAUUAUUGAACAGAAAUCCAAUAAUUGAACACCGGCCAAUUCUUGUCCAAUCAAAUUAAAACUCAAUUAAUAUAUUCCACUAAAUUUUUCGUACAACAUCCUAUUCAGAUGAAUAAAAUGUAAAAAAUAAAAUAUAUAAUUCAAAAAAUUAUAAAGGAUGCAAUUUAGCAGGUCAUACAAUAUACCAACAUCAUUUACAAGUGGGAACAACUCUUUUUCAUAAAAGAAAAGCCUUUUUUGUUUUAAAAUAAAGUUUUUUUGGAUGAUUCACUAUUACUAAUUGCCCAAGUCAUUCUAUUGCGAAUACAUGCAAAUUAAUAAAGAGACUUGUGGGGUUGCUGGAUAGAAAUUGUUGAAUACAUACAAAUUAUUGAACAGAAAUCCAAUAAUUGAACACCGGCCAAUUCUUGUCCAAUCAAAUUAAAACUCAAUUAAUAUAUUCCACUAAAUUUUUCGUACAACAUCCUAUUCAGAUGAAUAAAAUGUAAAAAAUAAAAUAUAUAAUUCAAAAAAUUAUAAAGGAUGCAAUUUAGCAGGUCAUACAAUAUACCAAAAAAAGUCUUGGGGGUGCAGUGGGAAUAUUUCUUGACAGAAAGAGUCUUAAAAAUUUUUUCGCCAGAAAACAUUUUCUCUCUCUGAUCUCUGUAUUCUUCAGAUCCUCCUCCUUGCUUGAACGUCUGUAACUUUGUCAUCCAUGAUUUGCAUUCAAUUCUUGACGAAAAAACCUUUUUCCGGAUUUUCAUCUUUUGAUCUCAAACAUGCUUUGCUUCUGUUGAUUGUGGUCGCUUCUAGUGCUAGUUCUCUUCUUAUAUAGCUUUGUUCCCUUUUGCCAUCAGCUCUUUGCAUUUCCUUGGAUGAAGAAACCUUUUU
rnacentral:lncRNA from 1 species